GGGUGAGUAAUAUAUCGGAACGUGCCCAGUCGUGGGGGAUAACGCAGCGAAAGCUGUGCUAAUACCGCAUACGAUCUCUGGAUGAAAGCGGGGGACUCGCAAGGGCCUCGCGCGAUUGGAGCGGCCGAUAUCAGAUUAGCUAGUUGGUGGGGUAAAAGCCCACCAAGGCGACGAUCUGUAGCUGGUCUGAGAGGACGACCAGCCACACUGGAACUGAGACACGGUCCAGACUCCUACGGGAGGCAGCAGUGGGGAAUUUUGGACAAUGGGCGCAAGCCUGAUCCAGCAAUGCCGCGUGCAGGAUGAAGGCCUUCGGGUUGUAAACUGCUUUUGUACGGAACGAAAAGGUCUGCCUUAAUACGGUGGGCUCAUGACGGUACCGUAAGAAUAAGCACCGGCUAACUACGUGCCAGCAGCCGCGGUAAUACGUAGGGUGCGAGCGUUAAUCGGAAUUACUGGGCGUAAAGCGUGCGCAGGCGGUUAUAUAAGACAGAUGUGAAAUCCCCGGGCUCAACCUGGGACCUGCAUUUGUGACUGUAUAGCUAGAGUACGGUAGAGGGGGAUGGAAUUC
rnacentral:rRNA from 1 species